rnacentral:rRNA from 1 species
AUUGAACGCUGGCGGCAGGCUUAACACAUGCAAGUCGAGCGGGGGAAGGUAGCUUGCUACCGGACCUAGCGGCGGACGGGUGAGUAAUGCUUAGGAAUCUGCCUACUAGUGGGGGACAACAUCACGAAAGGGAUGCUAAUACCGCAUACGUCCUACGGGAGAAAGCAGGGGAUCUUCGGACCUAGCGCUAAUAGAUGAGCCUAAGUCGGAUUAGCUAGUUGGUGGGGUAAAGGCCUACCAAGGCGACGAUCUGUAGCGGGUCUGAGAGGAUGAUCCACCACACUGGGACUGAGACACGGCCCAGACUCCUACGGGAGGCAGCAGUGGGGAAUAUUGGACAAUGGGGGGAACCCUGAUCCAGCCAUGCCGCGUGCGUGAAGAAGGCCUUAUGGUUGUAAAGCACUUUAAGCGAGGAGGAGGCUACUUUAGUUAAUACCUAGAGAUAGUGGACGUUACUCGCAGAAUAAGCACCGGCUAACUCUGUGCCAGCAGCCGCAGUAA